rnacentral:rRNA from 1 species
UACCCGCUGAACUUAAGCAUAUCAAUAAGCGGAGGAAAAGAAACCAACAGGGAUUGCCUCAGUAACGGCGAGUGAAGCGGCAAAAGCUCAAAUUUGAAAUCUGGCUGCUUUUUUAGUAGUCCGAGUUGUAAUUUGAAGAAUAGAUCCUUGGAGAGGCGCCUUGUCUAUGUUCCUUGGAACAGGACGUCGCAGAGGGUGAGAAUCCCGUUUGGCGAGGUGUGCUGAUCCGUGUAAGGGCUGUUCGACGAGUCGAGUUGUUUGGGAAUGCAGCUCUAAGUGGGUGGUAAAUUCCAUCUAAAGCUAAAUAUUGGCGAGAGACCGAUAGCGAACAAGUACAGUGAUGGAAAGAUGAAAAGAACUUUGAAAAGAGAGUGAAAAAGUACGUGAAAUUGUUGAAAGGGAAGGUUAUUAGAUCAGACUUGGAUUUUUUAUUAUAUUUGUCUCCUUGUGGGGCAUUCACUAAUUUUUAAUCCAGGCCAGCAUCGAUUGGGAUGGCGGGAAAAAGAGGGAGGAACGUGGCUGUGCAUUUAUGUGCAGUGUUUAUAGCCUUUCUUAAUACCGCCUGUCUCGAUCGAGGACUGCGGCAAAUUUAUUUUUGCCUAGGAUGCUGGCGUAAUGAUCUAAUAUCGCCCGUCUUGAAACACGGAC